rnacentral:SRP_RNA from 1 species
GCCAAGCACAGUGGCAUAUGCCUGUAGUCCCAGCUACUCAGGAGGCUGAGGUGAGAGGAUUGCUUGAGCCCAGGAGUUCUGGGCUGCAAUGGGCUAUGUGGAUCAGGUGUCGGCACUAAGUUCGGCAUCAAUUUGGUGACCUCCUGGGAGCAGGGCACCACCAGAAUCCCUAAGGAGGGGUGAACCGGCCCAGGUCAGAAAUGGAGCAGGUCGAAACUCCCAUGCUGAUCAGUAGUGGGAUUGCGCCUGUGAACAGCCACUGCACUCCAGCCUGGGCAACAUAGUGAGACCCCAUCUCU